AUGUUGCCUACCUCCUGCCCUCAUGUUACCUACCUCCUGCCCUCAUGUUACCUACUUACCUACCUCCUGCCCUCAUGUUACCUACUUACCUACCUGCUGCCCUCAUGUUACCUACCUCCUGCCCUCAUGUUACCUACUUACCUACCUCCUGCCCUCAUGUUACCUACUUACCUACCUCCUGCCCUCAUGUUACCUACUUACCUACCUCCUGCCCUCAUGUUGCCUACCUCCCGCCCUCAUGUUACCUACCUCCUGCCCUCAUGUUACCUACUUACCUACCUCCUGCCCUCAUGUAACCUACUUACCUACCUCCUGCCCUCAUGUAACCUACUUACCUACCUCCUGCCCUCAUGUUGCCUACCUCCCGCCCUCAUGUUACCUACCUCCUGCCCUCAUGUUACCUACCUCCUGCCCUCAUGUUACCUACUUACCUACCUCCUGCCCUCAUGUUACCUACUUACCUACCUGCUGCCCUCAUGUUACCUACCUCCUGCCCUCAUGUUGCCUACUUACCUACCUGCUGCCCUCAUGUUACCUACCUCCUGCCCUCAUGUUACCUACUUACCUACCUCCUGCCCUCAUGUUACCUACUUACCUACCUCCUGCCCUCAUGUUACCUACUUACCUACCUCCUGCCCUCAUGUUACCUACUUACCUACCUCCUGCCCUCAUGUUACCUACUUACCUACCUCCUGCCCUCAUGUUACCUACUUACCUACCUCCUGCCCUCAUGUUGCCUACCUCCCGCCCUCAUGUUACCUACCUCCUGCCCUCAUGUUACCUACCUCCUGCCCUCAUGUUACCUACUUACCUACCUCCUGCCCUCAUGUUACCUACUUACCUACCUCCUGCCCUCAUGUUACCUACUUACCUACCUCCUGCCCUCAUGUUACCUACUUACCUACCUCCUGCCCUCAUGUUAUCUACUUACCUACCUCCUGCCCUCAUGUUGCCUACUUACCUACCUCCUGCCCUCAUGUUACCUACUUACCUACCUCCUGCCCUCAUGUUACCUACCACAGUGUAACCUACUUAACUACCUCCUGCCCUCAUGUUGCCUACUUACCUACCUCCUGCCCUCAUGUUGCCUACCUCCCGCCCUCAUGUUGCCUACUUACCUACCUCCUGCCCUCAUGUUACCUACUUACCUACCUCCUGCCCUCAUGUUACCUACCAGUGUUACCUCCCUACCAGUGUUACCUCCCUACCACAGUGUUACCUACCAGUGUUACCUCCCUACCAGUGUUACCUCCCUACCAGUGUUACCUCCCUACCACAAUGUUACCUCCCUCCCACAGUGUUACCUACCUCCCACAGUGUUACCUACCUCCCACAGUGUUACCUACCUCCCACAGUGUUACCUACCUCCCACAGUGUUACCUCCCACAGUGUUACCUCCCACAGUGUUACCUCCCACAGUGUUACCUCCCACAGUGUUACAGUGUGUUACUUUCUAUUUAA
rnacentral:lncRNA from 1 species